rnacentral:rRNA from 1 species
UAACAGGAUUAGAUACCCUGGUAGUCCAUGCCGUAAACGUUGGGCACUAGGUGUGGGGGACAUUCCACGUUUUCCGCGCCGUAGCUCACGCAUUAAGUGCCCCGCCUGGGGAGUACGGCCGCAAGGCUAAAACUCAAAGAAAUUGACGGGGGCCCGCACAAGCGGCGGAGCAUGCGGAUUAAUUCGAUGCAACGCGAAGAACCUUACCAAGGCUUGACAUGAACCGGAAAGGCGUAGAAAUACGUCCCCCACUUGUGGUCGGUUUACAGGUGGUGCAUGGUUGUCGUCAGCUCGUGUCGUGAGAUGUUGGGUUAAGUCCCGCAACGAGCGCAACCCUCGUUCUAUGUUGCCAGCACGUGAUGGUGGGGACUCAUAGGAGACUGCCGGGGUCAACUCGGAGGAAGGUGGGGAUGACGU